rnacentral:tRNA from 1 species
GGCACCCGUAGCUCAGCUGGAUAGAGCGCUGCCCUCCGAAGGCAGGUGUCAAGGCUUGAUGAAUAACAAUUUUUAGAGGUAAUGUAUUAAAUUUCAAUAACUUACAAAAGCUCACUUGAUGGGGUUCA